UUCCGGUUGAUCCUGCCGGAGGUCAUUGCUAUCGGGAUUCGAUUUAGCCAUGCUAGUCGCACGAGUUCAUACUCGUGGCAGAUAGCUCAGUAACACGUGGCCAAACUACCCUAUGGAGGACCAUAACCUCGGGAAACUGAGGCUAAUAGUCCAUACGACUCUCUCCCUGGAACUGGGUUGAGUCAGAAACGCUACGGCGCCAUAGGAUGUGGCUGCGGCCGAUUAGGUAGACGGUGGGGUAACGGCCCACCGUGCCUAUAAUCGGUAUAGGUUGUGAGAGCAAGAGCCUAGAGACGGAAUCUGAGACAAGAUUCCGGGCCCUACGGGGCGCAGCAGGCGCGAAAACUUUACACUGCACGACAGUGCGAUAAGGGAAUCCCGAGUGCGAGGGCAUAGAGCCCUCGCUUCUCUGAACCGUAGGGUGGUUCAGGAACAAGAACUGGGCAAGACCGGUGCCAGCCGCCGCGGUAACACCGGCAGUUCGAGUGAUGACCGAUUUUAUUGGGCCUAAAGCGUCCGUAGCUGGCCGUGCAAGUCUGUUGGGAAAUCUGCUCGCUCAACGAGCAGGCGUCCGGCAGAAACUGCGCGGCCUGGGACCGAGCGAUCCGAGGGGUACGUCUGGGGUAGGAGUGAAAUCCCGUAAUCCUGGACGGACCACCGGUGGCGAAAGCACCUCGGAAGAUCGGCUCCGACAGUGAGGGACGAAAGCUGGGGUCACGAACCGGAUUAGAUACCCGGGUAGUCCCAGCUGUAAACGAUGCCAGUUAGGUUUGGCGCGGGCUACGAGCUCGUGCUGUGCCGCAGUGAAGACGAUAAACUGGCCGCCUGGGAAGUACGUCCGCAAGGAUGAAACUUAAAGGAAUUGGCGGGGGAGCACUACAACCGGAGGAGCCUGCGGUUUAAUUGGAGUCAACGCCGGA
rnacentral:rRNA from 1 species